UACGGGGGGGGCAAGCGUUGCUCGGAAUCACUGGGCGUAAAGGGUGCGUAGGCGGGCCUUUAAGUCAGGGGUGAAAUCCUGGAGCUCAACUCCAGAACUGCCUUUGAUACUGAGAAGCUUGAGUCCGGGAGAGGUGAGUGGAACUGCGAGUGUAGAGGUGAAAUUCGUAGAUAUUCGCAAGAACACCAGUGGCGAAGGCGGCUCACUGGCCCGGUACUGACGCUGAGGUGCGAAAGCGUGGGGAGCAAACAGG
rnacentral:rRNA from 1 species